rnacentral:lncRNA from 1 species
GGACUAGAAGCCAAGCUGUGUGGCUGCAGAAUCUGGGCUCUGAAUUAACACACCGGGUACGAGCCCGCGCCCCACUGUCCGGCACCGAGGAGACUAGCUGUCUCUUCUCUCCCAGCUCAGGGCGGGGCUUUACCUAGAGCUGGAGUCAAAACACACACACCGCUAAGGGCCAGGUAUCUGCAUGAGUUAGAAUUCCUUUGUGAAGAUAAAAAGGCUGCUGCAAAAAAUCAUGCUGGCGCUGUGAGCACUGUCAGACUGGAGGCCAUCUCAAAUGAGAUUAAUGAUGUCUGCCAUAAUGUAAGAAGAUUUAGCAUAACCAAGAUGGCGGAUUCUGCGGAAGCCUGCCAGCGCUCAUUUACUUGGAAUAAAUAUUAUUUCUAAUUAAAUUCCUAAGGAGGAAAAAUUGAGUAAAGACAUGAAAACUACUUAACUGGAAAAGGUGAUUAGACAGCAGAGUGGAAUUGAUGAUUUGGUGCCUCCUUUUCCCUGGACCAUCAUUCCGAGAGACCACACACAGUUAUGACAUAAAGUCCAGCUGAAACGUUCAUUCCAGAUCUCUCUGAAUGGGAUACAUUCAGGCUCAGGGAGCCGCUCUUAACUGACGGUGUUGCCUAGGACAGAGAGCUGUGGAGCAGCGGGGACCAGGAAUUCUGAGUGUAGCCACCACUCGCUCACUUCACAUUUGACACAUACGCAGGUAAAGCUAUUGCUGUUACUGCGUUUCAUAAUUUCAUAAAAAGGCUGCUUAUCAAGUAGCCUUUGGAGCGCUGGAAAAGAGAAUGUGCCACUCAAUAGUCUUCCAUGAAACUGUUCUCUGAAUUAACAGAAAUCUGAAGGGUAGAUGUGCUAUGUAUCUAGAUUUCUUCAGGAUUUUACUAUAUUUUUAACGGAAAUAUUAUGCUUCAUAAUUAUCAGAAUAUUUUCUGCUAUAACGAGCUGAAAUACUACAUUUCCCAAUUUCUCUUGCAACAGGAGAGCAGUCAUUUGACUAAGUUCUAAAGGGAGGGUAUAAACUUCCAAGUCUCCUUUACUUUUAACUUCUGACUCUUCUUAAAAGAGAGGGAGUACAUCCUUCAUGCUGCCUGGAAUGUGGGCAUGUGGAAUGUGAGCAUGAUGGCUAGAGCUUCAGCAGCCAUUAUGAACCAUGUGGCGGAAGCCACCAGCUGAGGAUAGUGGAAUGAGAGCCUGGGUCCCUGACCUGUGAAUCUACCACAGCUGUCUUUACAUGUCAUUCACUUGAGAG